rnacentral:rRNA from 1 species
AUUGAACGCUGGCGGCAUGCCUUACACAUGCAAGUCGAACGGCAGCACGGGUGCUUGCACCUGGUGGCGAGUGGCGAACGGGUGAGUAAUACAUCGGCACGUACCUUAUCGUGGGGGAUAACGCAGCGAAAGCUGUGCUAAUACCGCAUACGCCCUGAGGGGGAAAGCGGGGGAUCGCAAGACCUCGCGCGAUUAGAGCGGCCGAUGCCUGAUUAGCUUGUUAGUGGGGUAAAAGCCCACCAAGGCGACGAUCAGUAGCUGGUCUGAGAGGACGAUCAGCCACACUGGGACUGAGACACGGCCCAGACUCCUACGGGAGGCAGCAGUGGGGAAUUUUGGACAAUGGGGGCAACCCUGAUCCAGCAAUGCCGCGUGAGUGAAGAAGGCCUUCGGGUUGUAAAGCUCUUUUGUCAGGGAAGAAACACCGGCUCUAACACAGUCCGGGAAUGACGGUACCUGAAGAAUAAGCACCGGCUAACUACGUGCCAGCAGCCGCCGUAAAAC